UCAAGCGAACAAGGGCGCAGGGCGAAUGCCUUGGCACUGGGAGCCGAUGAAAGACGUGAUAAGCUGCGAUAAGCUUCGGGGAGCUGCAAAUAAGCAUUGAUCCGGAGAUUUCUGAAUGAGGAAACUCACUUGGGUUCAUACUCAAGUACGUUGCACUGAAAUUUAAAAUAGGUGCAUCGAGGGAACCGCCUGAACUGAAACAUCUAAGUAGGGCGAGGAAGAGACAUCAAACGAGAUUCCGUAAGUAGUGGCGAGCGAACGCGGAAGAGGGCAAACCGAAGGUAGAAAUACCUUCGGGGUACGGACUGCUUUUAGGACUCGAUCUGUUAACCGAACGGCAUGGGAAGGCCGGUCAGAGAGUGUGAGAACCACGUAGGUGAAAACGGAGAGAGCUGCGCAGAUUCCAGAGUACGGCCAGACACGUGAAACCUGGUCGGAAGAUGGGGGGACCACCCUCCAACCCUAAAUACUACCCAGUGACCGAUAGCGUAUAGUACUGUGAAGGAAAGGUGAAAAGCACCCCGGGAGGGGAGUGAAAAAGAACCUGAAACCCUGUGCCUACAAGCACCUAGAGCACGUCAAUGUGUGAUAGGGUACUUUUUGUAGAACGGUCCGGCGAGCGAUUGUAUGCAGCAAGGUUAAGGACUUAAGGUCUGGAGCCGAAGCGAAAGCGAGUUUGAAAAGGGCGUUAAGUUGCAUAUAAUGGGCCCGAAACCGGGUGACCUACCCAUGGUCAGGUUGAAGUGGAAGUAAAAUUCCAUGGAGGACCGAACCGACCUCCGUUGAAAAGGCGGCGGAUGAACUGUGGGUAGCGGAGAAAUUCCAAUCGAACCCGGAGAUAGCUGGUUCUCCCCGAAAUAGUUUUAGGACUAGCCUCAAGUUAGAUACCUGGAGGUAAAGCACUGAAUAGCCUAGCGGCCGAGAGGUUAGCGAAGCUUAUCAAACUCAGAAUGCCAGAGUAUUGAUGCUUGGGAGUCAGACAGUGUCAGAUAAAUGUCAUUGUCAAAAGGGAAACAGCCCAGAUCUACAGCUAAGGUCCCAAAGUCAGGUUAAGUGGAAAACGAUGUGAAGAUACGCAGACAACCAGGAUGUUGGCUCAGAAGCAGCCACUCAUUCAAAGAGUGCGUAAUAGCUCACUGGUCGAGCGUCUUUGCGCGGAGAAUUUAACGGGGCUAAACCUGACACCGAAGCUUAGGCAAUCCAGUAAUGGAUUGGGUAGGGGAGCGUUGUAUACGCGGAGAAACAGUAGCGUAAGCGGCUGUGGAGUGUAUAGAAGUGAGAAUGCCGGAAUGAGUAGCGCGAAUGCAGUGAGAAUCUGCAUGGCCGAAAGCCUCAGGUUUUUGGAGGAAGGUUCGUCCGCUCCAAGUUAGUCGGGAGCUAAGGUGAGGCCGGAAGGCGUAGCCGAUGCACAGACGGUAGAGAUUCCGUCACCACCAAAAGAGUUAAGCACAGGGACACAUUUGAAGUCUCAGAGCCGGGUGUUGGUUCCGGUAGAGAUCGAGGGAAAUUAGUACCGAAGUCUGGGAUGGAAGAUGGCGAGAAAAGCUGUGUGUAUUUCUGAGGUGCCCGUACCGCAAACCGACACAGGUAGGUAGGAAGAAGAUUCUAAGGCCAACGGGAGAAGGGUUGUUAAGGAACUCGGCAAAUUGACCCCGUAACUUCGGGAGAAGGGGUGCUCCAGAGAUGGAGCCGCAGAGAAUCGGCCCAAGCAACUGUUUACCAAAAACACAGGUUUGUGCUAAAUCGAAAGAUGACGUAUACGAGCUGACGCCUGCCCGGUGCUGGAAGGUUAAGAGGAGAUGUGCAAGCAUUGAAUCGAAGCCCCAGUGAACGGCGGCCGUAACUAUAACGGUCCUAAGGUAGCGAAAUUCCUUGUCAGGUAAG
rnacentral:rRNA from 1 species